CUCUCUAGUGACCGAUAGUGAACCAGUACCGUGAGGGAAAGGUGAAAAGCACCCCGGAAGGGGAGUGAAAUAGAACCUGAAACCGUGUGCUUACAAGUAGUCAGAGCCCGUUAAUGGGUGAUGGCGUGCCUUUUGUAGAAUGAACCGGCGAGUUACGAUUUGAUGCAAGGUUAAGCAGUAAAUGUGGAGCCGUAGCGAAAGCGAGUCUGAAUAGGGCGUUUAGUAUUUGGUCGUAGACCCGAAACCAGGUGAUCUACCCUUGGUCAGGUUGAAGUUCAGGUAACACUGAAUGGAGGACCGAACCGACUUACGUUGAAAAGUGAGCGGAUGAACUGAGGGUAGCGGAGAAAUUCCAAUCGAACCUGGAGAUAGCUGGUUCUCUCCGAAAUAGCUUUAGGGCUAGCCUCAAGUGAUGAUUAUUGGAGGUAGAGCACUGUUUGGACGAGGGGCCCCUCUCGGGUUACCGAAUUCAGACAAACUCCGAAUGCCAAUUAAUUUAACUUGGGAGUCAGAACAUGGGUGAUAAGGUCCGUGUUCGAAAGGGAAACAGCCCAGACCACCAGCUAAGGUCCCAAAAUAUAUGUUAAGUGGAAAAGGAUGUGGCGUUGCCCAGACAACUAGGAUGUUGGCUUAGAAGCAGCCAUCAUUUAAAGAGUGCGUAAUAGCUCACUAGUCGAGUGACACUGCGCCGAAAAUGUACCGGGGCUAAACAUAUUACCGAAGCUGUGGAUUGUCCUUUGGACAAUGGUAGGAGAGCGUUCUAAGGGCGUUGAAGCAUGAUCGUAAGGACAUGUGGAGCGCUUAGAAGUGAGAAUGCCGGUGUGAGUAGCGAAAGACGGGUGAGAAUCCCGUCCACCGAUUGACUAAGGUUUCCAGAGGAAGGCUCGUCCGCUCUGGGUUAGUCGGGUCCUAAGCUGAGGCCGACAGGCGUAGGCGAUGGAUAACAGGUUGAUAUUCCUGUACCACCUAUAAUCGUUUUAAUCGAUGGGGGGACGCAGUAGGAUAGGCGAAGCGUGCGAUUGGAUUGCACGUCUAAGCAGUAAGGCUGAGUAUUAGGCAAAUCCGGUACUCGUUAAGGCUGAGCUGUGAUGGGGAGAAGACAUUGUGUCUUCGAGUCGUUGAUUUCACACUGCCGAGAAAAGCCUCUAGAUAGAAAAUAGGUGCCCGUACCGCAAACCGACACAGGUAGUCAAGAUGAGAAUUCUAAGGUGAGCGAGCGAACUCUCGUUAAGGAACUCGGCAAAAUGACCCCGUAACUUCGGGAGAAGGGGUGCUCUUUAGGGUUAACGCCCAGAAGAGCCGCAGUGAAUAGGCCCAAGCGACUGUUUAUCAAAAACACAGGUCUCUGCUAAACCGUAAGGUGAUGUAUAGGGGCUGACGCCUGCCCGGUGCUGGAAGGUUAAGAGGAGUGGUUAGCUUCUGCGAAGCUACGAAUCGAAGCCCCAGUAAACGGCGGCCGUAACUAUAACGGUCCUAAGGUAGCGAAAUUCCUUGUCGGGUAAGUUCCGACCCGCACGAAAGGCGUAACGAUUUGGGCACUGUCUCAACGAGAGACUCGGUGAAAUCAUAGUACCUGUGAAGAUGCAGGUUACCCGCGACAGGACGGAAAGACCCCGUGGAGCUUUACUGUAGCCUGAUAUUGAAAUUCGGCACAGCUUGUACAGGAUAGGUAGGAGCCUUUGAAACGUGAGCGCUAGCUUACGUGGAGGCGCUGGUGGGAUACUACCCUAGCUGUGUUGGCUUUCUAACCCGCACCACUUAUCGUGGUGGGAGACAGUGUCAGGCGGGCAGUUUGACUGGGGCGGUCGCCUCCUAAAAGGUAACGGAGGCGCUCAAAGGUUCCCUCAGAAUGGUUGGAAAUCAUUCAUAGAGUGUAAAGGCAUAAGGGAGCUUGACUGCGAGACCUACAAGUCGAGCAGGGUCGAAAGACGGACUUAGUGAUCCGGUGGUUCCGCAUGGAAGGGCCAUCGCUCAACGGAUAAAAGCUACCCCGGGGAUAACAGGCUUAUCUCCCCCAAGAGUUCACAUCGACGGGGAGGUUUGGCACCUCGAUGUCGGCUCAUCGCAUCCUGGGGCUGUAGUCGGUCCCAAGGGUUGGGCUGUUCGCCCAUUAAAGCGGUACGCGAGCUGGGUUCAGAACGUCGUGAGACAGUUCGGUCCCUAUCCGUCGUGGGCGUAGGAAAUUUGAGAGGAGCUGUCCUUAGUACGAGAGGACCGGGAUGGACAUACCUCUGGUGUACCAGUUGUCGUGCCAACGGCAUAGCUGGGUAGCUAUGUGUGGACGGGAUAAGUGCUGAAAGCAUCUAAGCAUGAAGCCCCCCUCAAGAUGAGAUUUCCCAACUUCGGUUAUAAGAUCCCUCAAAGAUGAUGAGGUUAAUAGGUUCGAGGUGGAAGCAUGGUGACAUGUGGAGCUGACGAAUACUAAUCGAUCGAAGACUUAAUCAA
rnacentral:rRNA from 2 species